rnacentral:pre_miRNA from 1 species
UUGGUACUCCCUCCGUUCGGAAUUAUUUGUCUUGGAAAUGGAUGUAUCUAGAACUAAAAUACAUCUAGAUACAUCCAUUUUCGCGACAAGUAAUUCCGAACGGAGGGAGUAUCAU